UAACCUCAAAAUAUUCUCGGCCCGAGGAUAUGAACGUCGGUCGAUCUCUUUUCGCCACUGCCGGUGCACACGUUAUUACCGUGGCAUCAUAGGAUACUGGAUAGAAUAUUGAUUGUUUUUUUUCGUCACCGCCAUAUCGAAUAGCCCAGUCAGCUACCGUAGAGCUAAUUGCUGACGCUCCCGGUGUACAUUUCGUUAACUAUUCGCCAACAAAAUCUGUUUAACUCGUUGUCGGUCACGAAUUAAAGAUACAUAAACGUAGAUAGAGUUUAUAUUAUCUGCGGAUACGAGUCGCGUUAUCUAUAGCCGGUAUAUCGAUUAUAUUGCCUACAUAUUAUAGAUUAUAGGAGAAAAUAAUUUGUUCGCUUGGCGCGCCCGCGAUCAGUUCCUCCAGACAUCGAUUCAGCUGAUGGACGGAUUCAGUCCGACGGUCACCUCGUCGUCCUAACCUGCCUUUGUCAUAAAC